GCAUGCGGAUACUACGUAGCUGCCCCUCCGCUCCCUGCAACCUUGCGCCAUGGCGAACAGGCGGAGCGAUGCGGCGAGGCGAAGCCGGGAGGCGCUCAUCCCCAGGGGCAAAAAAUUCUCUUCUAAUCAAAUCCUCAAAGAAUACCUGGUCUCAAUAAGCUUGUCCUGAUUGCAGCACAUACAAUGCAGCAUAUCUGAAUCUAAGGAUGUUGCUCAUUGACUGGUUCUUCAGUUCUUCGAAAUGUCCCUAGAAAGUGUCAAGUGGUAUUUUCUGGAAAAAGGACCUCAAGUGGCGCCCGAUGCUACUGGGUGCUUGAAAAAAUAGCUGUUGUAUUAGCGGGAUCCAAUAGAAGGGACAGGGCAGUGAUUCUGAUUAGCUCUAUUUCGGCGACUGUUACAGGUUACGAUUUGGCAGCCUCGGAAGGGUAACUCAAGGAGGAGCUAGCUGCGGCUGUGGAGGCCAGCGUGUGUGCCAUGCCAUGCCAUGCCAUCAGAGUCGUCUGACUUGGAGCUGGAGUCUGGUGGGGUGGGUUGCCAAUGGCGUCAUGGCAAGUUGUCAAUAAUGCACUAGAUUUAGCUGCAAGUUUAGAUUUGAUUAACCAAUUAUCUCUGACCUGCGCUUUCUGCAUGAUUGCGACUAGUUUUGGGGUGCUGUUCAGAGCAACAAACGAUGGAUGCAACGCUCCAAACCGACGGCUCCCGUGGUGGUUUUGUUUUAUGUACUCAGGUUUGCGAUUGGGGCGCAUGUACGUGUCAUCUGCAGUCCGGGGUUUGACACCUGGGUCUAAUAAUGCACGAACUAAAUACUUUUUAGUGGAUAGUGUUUUUGUAUUUAGUGGAUAGGGUUUGUGUAGAUUUAGUUAAGUUAACAGCUGCUGGAUGUGUGUGUCUCCAGCUGAUUGCUUGAGUUCCUUCUGAACUCUGAAUUUCCGUUGCCAAGACCUUUUCAGGGGCGAAUCUGUCUUUGACACUCAGUAUACAUGAAUGGAACUGACCCUGUGUCGUAUCUUUGUGUUUUUA